rnacentral:misc_RNA from 1 species
ACCUGGUGUUAGAAUUGCUUUGUACUACAGCACUCUUGUUGCAAUAAUGUCGCUUAUCCCUCCUCUGUCUUACUGUGAAAUAGAUUUUUCAUUAUUAACAGUUGAUCCAUGGUCAAAAUCACCAUGUAGUUCAAUGUGGGAUUUGAAGUUGGAAAGAUAUUCCCUUCUGGAGUCUGUCCAAAAAGCUGCAAAAGAAUAUCAUUUACUUAGGCACUAUGACUUUUG